rnacentral:rRNA from 1 species
GAUGAACGCUGGCGGCGUGCCUAAUACAUGCAAGUCGAGCGAACAGACGAGGAGCUUGCUCCUCUGACGUUAGCGGCGGACGGGUGAGUAACACGUGGAUAACCUACCUAUAAGACUGGGAUAACUUCGGGAAACCGGAGCUAAUACCGGAUAACAUGUUGAACCGCACGGUUCAACAGUGAAAGACGGUCUUGCUGUCGCUUAUAGAUGGAUCCGCGCCGCAUUAGCUAGUUGGUAAGGUAACGGCUUACCAAGGCAACGAUGCGUAGCCGACCUGAGAGGGUGAUCGGCCACACUGGAACUGAGACACGGUCCAGACUCCUACGGGAGGCAGCAGUAGGGAAUCUUCCGCAAUGGGCGAAAGCCUGACGGAGCAACGCCGCGUGAGUGAAGAAGGUCUUCGGAUCGUAAAACUCUGUUAUUAGGGAAGAACAAAUGUGUAAGUAACUAUGCACGUCUUGACGGUACCUAAUCAGAAAGCCACGGCUAACUACGUG